AGUGAACGCUGGCGGUAGGCCUAACACAUGCAAGUCGAACGGCAGCACAGUAAGAGCUUGCUCUUACGGGUGGCGAGUGGCGGACGGGUGAGGAAUACAUCGGAAUCUACUUUUUCGUGGGGGAUAACGUAGGGAAACUUACGCUAAUACCGCAUACGACCUACGGGUGAAAGCAGGGGAUCUUCGGGCCUUGCGCGAUUGAAUGAGCCGAUGUCGGAUUAGCUAGUUGGCGGGGUAAAGGCCCACCAAGGCGACGAUCCGUAGCUGGUCUGAGAGGAUGAUCAGCCACACUGGAACUGAGACACGGUCCAGACUCCUACGGGAGGCAGCAGUGGGGAAUAUUGGACAAUGGGCGCAAGCCUGAUCCAGCCAUACCGCGUGGGUGAAGAAGGCCUUCGGGUUGUAAAGCCCUUUUGUUGGGAAAGAAAAGCAGCAGGUUAAUACCCCGCUGUCCUGACGGUACCCAAAGAAUAAGCACCGGCUAACUUCGUG
rnacentral:rRNA from 1 species